UACGUAGGGUGCGAGCGUUAAUCGGAAUUACUGGGCGUAAAGCGUGCGCAGGCGGUUUUGUAAGACAGAUGUGAAAUCCCCGGGCUCAACCUGGGACUGCAUUCGAGACUGCAUUGCUAGAGUAUGGGAGAGGGAAGUGGAAUUUCCGGUGUAGCGGUGAAAUGCGUAGAUAUCGGAAGGAACAUCAGUGGCGAAAGCGACUUCCUGGACCAAUACUGACGCUCAUGUGCGAAAGCGUGGGGAGCAAACAGG
rnacentral:rRNA from 1 species